GAUGAACGCUGGCGGCGUGCCUAAUACAUGCAAGUCGAGCGAACGGACGAGAAGCUUGCUUCUCUGAUGUUAGCGGCUGACGGGUGAGUAACACGUGGAUAACCUACCUAUAAGACUGGGAUAACUUCGGGAAACCGGAGCUAAUACCGGAUGAUAUUUUGAACCGCAUGGUUCAAAAGUGAAAGACGGUCUUGCUGUCACUUAUAGAUGGAUCCGCGCUGCAUUAGCUAGUUGGUAAGGUAACGGCUUACCAAGGCAACGAUGCAUAGCCGACCUGAGAGGCUGAACGGCCACACGGGAACGGAGACACGGUCCAGACUCCUACGGGAGGCAGCAGUAGGGAAUCUUCCGCGAUGGGCGAAAGCCUGACGGAGCAACGCCGCGUGAGGGAUGAAGGUCUUCGGAUCGUAAAACUCUGUUAUUAGGGAAGAACAUAUGUGUAAGUAACUGUGCACAUCUUGACGGUACCUAAUCAGAAAGCCACGGCUAACUACGUG
rnacentral:rRNA from 1 species